GGCCGGGCACGCCCGAGAGGGCGGGCGAACGCGGUGAACUGAAACAUCUCAGUAGCCGCGGGAAGAGAAAGCAAACGCGAUUCCCCGAGUAGCGGCGAGCGAAAGGGGAGCAGCCCAAACCGCGCGGGUUUCGGCCCGCGCGGGGUUGUAGGCGCCGCGCAGGCGCCGGGGCCCGCGGGCCGGAGCGGCUGGAACGCCGCCCCGCAGCGGGUGAGAGGCCCAUAGGCGAAGCGGGGCCCCGGCGCGGCGGACUGCCUGAGUAGGGCGGGGCACGAGGACCCCCGUCCGAACCGGCCGGGACCACCCGGCAAGGCUAAAUACUCCCAGGAGACCGAUAGCGCACCAGUACCGUGAGGGAAAGGUGAAAAGCACCCCGAGCAGGGGAGUGAAAGAGUACCUGAAACCGUGCGCCCGCGAGCGGUCGGAGCCCCGGGAGGGGUGACGGCGUGCCUUUUGCAUAAUGAGCCUACGAGUUGCGGCGGCCAGCGAGGUUAACCCGCGCAGCGGGGGAGCCGUAGCGAGCGCGAGUCCGAAUAGGGCGCGAGUUGGCCGCCGCAGACGCGAAACUUUGCGAUCUACCCAUGGCCAGGUUGAAGGCCCGGUGCAACGGGCUGGAGGACCGAACCGGUUGGUGUUGAAAAACCCUCGGAUGAGCUGUGGGUAGGGGUGAAAGGCCAAUCAAGCUGAGAGAUAGCUCGUACUCCCCGAAACGCCUUUAGGGGCAGCCUCGGAGGAGCCGGCCGGAGGUAGAGCGACUGGCUGGCCGCGGGGGCGUCACAGCCUGCCAAGGCCUGUCAAACUCCGAAUGCCGGGCCGGCGCUCUCCGGGAGAGAGCCGCGGGGUGCUAACGUCCCGCGACGAGAGGGGAACAACCCAGACCAGCGGCUAAGGCCCCGAAGCGCGCGCUAAGUUGACCAAACGCGGUGCGGCCGCACAGACAGCUAGGAUGUUGGCUUGGAAGCAGCCAUUCAUUCAAAGAGUGCGUAACAGCUCACUAGUCGAGCGGCCGUGCAUGGAUAAUGAGCGGGCAUCAAGCGCGCCGCCGAGGCCCUGGGCCUUCGGCCGCCACGGCGGCCGGGGGCGGUAGGGGAGCAUUCCCCGGGCGUUGAAGGCCCGCCGCGAGGCGGGCUGGAGCGCGGGGAAAGGCAAAUGUAGGCAUGAGUAACGAUAACGCCGGCGAGAAACCGGCGCACCGAUAGGCCAAGGGUUCCCGGUCAACGCUAAUCGGACCGGGGUCAGCCGGGCCCUAAGGCUAAGGCGAAGGCCGACGCCGAUGGCGAGCGGGCGAACAUUCCCGCGCUGGCUGCAGCUGCAACACGGGGGGACGGAGGUGUGACAGCCGCGCCGCGGGACGGAUUCCGCGGCAGAAGGGGGUAGGGCCCCGCGAGGGGCCCGAUCCGGAAGGUAGCGCGAGCCCUCGGGCGAGCGUAAGCGGCGUAAGCGGGCUCCCGAGAAAACCCCCUGCGCAUCAAGGCUGCAGGCACCCGUACCGUAAACCGACACAGGUGGCCAAGGAGAGGAUCCUGAGGUGCUCGAGCGAUUCACGGCCAAGGAACUAGGCAAAUUGGCCCUGUAACUUCGGGAGAAAGGGCCCCCCGCGGCGACGCGGGGGCGCAGAGAAGUGGCCCAAGCGACUGUUUAGCAAAAACCCAUGGCUCUGCCAAGCCGAAAGGCGACGUAUAGGGCCUGACACCUGCCCGGUGCCGGAAGGUUAAGAGGGGGCGUUAGCCGCGAGGCGAGGCGCUGAAUUGAAGCCCCGGUAAACGGCGGCCGUAACUAUAACGGUCCUAAGGUAGCGAAAUUCCUUGUCGGGCAAGUUCCGACCCGCACGAAUGGUGUAACGAUUUGGGCGCUGUCUCGGCCGUGAGCUCGGUGAAAUUGAAGUCGCGGUGAAGAUGCCGCGUACCCGCAACGGGACGGAAAGACCCCGUGAACCUUUACUGCAGCUUCACGCUGCGCUAGGGCAGACGCUGUGUAGGAUAGGCCGGAGGCUACGAGCCGGCGCCGCCAGGCGCCGGGGAGCCGCCGUUGAAAUACGGCCCUCCGUCUGCCCGGGCGCUAACCCGCGAGGGGACACCGUGUGGUGGGUAGUUUGACUGGGGCGGUCGCCUCCCAAAGCGUAACGGAGGCUUCCCAAGGUGCCCUCAGCGCGGAUGGUAAUCGCGCGGCGAGUGCAAUGGCACAAGGGCGCUUGACUGCGAGACCGACGGGUCGAGCAGGUGCGAAAGCAGGGCAUAGUGAUCCGGUGGCACCGCGUGGAAGGGCCAUCGCGCAAAGGAUAAAAGGUACUCCGGGGAUAACAGGCUGAUCGCCCCCAAGAGCUCAUAUCGACGGGGCGGUUUGGCACCUCGAUGUCGGCCCGUCACAUCCUGGGGCUGGAGAAGGUCCCAAGGGUUCGGCUGUUCGCCGAUUAAAGUGGCACGCGAGCUGGGUUCAGAACGUCGUGAGACAGUUCGGUCCCUAUCUGUUGUGGGCGCAGAGGAUUGCGGGGAGCUGGCGCUAGUACGAGAGGACCGCGCUGGACGGACCGCUGGUGUACCAGCUGGGGUGCCAACCCCACCGCUGGGUAGCUACGUCCGGCUGGGAUAAGCGCUGAAAGCAUCUAAGCGCGAAGCCCCCCCCAAGAUGAAUCCUCGCCCGAGGGCCGUGGGAGACGACCACGUUGAUAGGCCGGAGGUGCAGGCGCGGCGACGCGCGAGCCGACCGGUACUAAUGGCCCGACGGCUUCCCGC
rnacentral:rRNA from 1 species